AUUUGAAUGGCAAAAAGAGACGGUUUGGAAAAUGUCCUAGGUUUUGCCAUUCAUGCCUGAAAUGGCAUGUUUAGUGAAUAAACCCCCUACCAGUCAGUCUGAUUCUUUCAGAAUGUGAAAAAAGCCUGAUUUAUGGACAAAGCAGUGAGUUAAAAGCAGACUUUCCAAUCCAGCCAAUAAUCAGCCGUGAUAUUCACUAAGCUCCGAACUAAUGUAGCUCAUUGAAAUCCAAAUAACACAUUCUAG